UAAUCAAAUAAUUCAUAGUAGGAUCAUCGGGUUGAAUUUCUAAACAAUCCAUCAUCUAUUUAUACAAUAGAGAACACAAUGGAGUAAUGUUUCUGACCAACAAUUGCUUCAAACAAUUGAUUAAAAGACUAUAUUGAUGGGGUAGAUAGUCUCUGAAGCAUUUGAUCUAACAAAUAAUGGGCAUCUUCAAUUUUACAAAAUCCUAAGAUACAACACUCUUUAAUCAUCAUAUUUCUGGAAUUGGGUUGUGAAUGAUUCAACACCAACAAAAAUCCCUUCAGCAAACCCCCUUUUAAACCAAUAAUCUUCGACGAUCAACCAUCGAUUUUAUAAAAAAAAUUAAUUUUUUGGUUUGAAUGGUAAGUGAUUUGUUGGAAAAUAAACCCUCUUACACAAGAACCCCAUUUCUCCAAAGAACUUCUUAACCACACACUUGUGUUCCUGAACUUGUUGUGAUUUUGAUGCAAUAUAGAAUAUACAGAAUUAAAACCCUAGAAAACUCUUAAAACACUUUGUAAGAAAGAGAAGAAGAAAAAUCACUAACCUGCGCAGGUAGCAAAAAUAAACCAACCAACGACUUCUCCGAUGGAAUUUCUAGAGUCUUAGGUUAAUGGAAGAAUAGAUAUAGAAGUUUGAAGAAUAGAUUUGUUUAUUUUCUUCUAAAUACUUCUUCUAAAUACUGUUAAUGGUUUAACAAAGAUUGUUUUUUUGACACAGAUAGCAAAUUUCAAUCUCUCUCUUCAAUAAAAGAUUUUGUCUUCGAUCAGUUAAAAAUUCGUGGAGAGAGAAAGGGGAGAAGACAAUGGAAUAGGGCUUUUAUUUUUAUUUUAAUUUAUUAUGAUACGUUAAAUUCCGACCAUUUAUUUUCAAUCUCA
rnacentral:lncRNA from 1 species